rnacentral:rRNA from 1 species
CCCUAUUAUUAAAAAUGUAAUAAAAAAAUUAAGAUAGUAAUAGUUAUGUUCUUGAAACUUAAAAAAUUUGGCGGUAUUUUAGUCUAUUCAGAGGAACCUGUCUUAUAAUCGAUAAUCCACGAUGGACCUUACUUAAAUUUGUAUAGUUUAUAUACCGUCGUUAUUAGAAUAUUUUAAAAGAAUAAUAAUUUUCAUAAUUUUUAAAUUAAAAAUAUAUCAGAUCAAGGUGUAGCUAAUAUUUAAGAAAAGAUGGGUUACAAUAAAUUUAUUUAUACGAAUAUAAAUAUGAAAAAUUUAUUAAAGGAGGAUUUGAUAGUAAAAUUAUAAAGAUUAAUAAUUUGAUUUUAGCUCUAAAAUAUGCACAUAUCGCCCGUCGCUCUUAUUAUUAAGGUAAGAUAAGUCGUAACAUAGUAGAUGUACUGGAAAGUGUAUCUAGAAUGCAAUUUAAAGCUUUUUUAGUAAAGUAUUUCAUUUACAUUGAAAUGAUUAUUGUGCAAUUCAAUAUAAAUUGAUUAAAUUUUAUUUAUUUAUUUAUUUAUAAUUUUAUAUAAUUUAUUAAAAAUAAUUAUUAAAUUUUUUGUUUAAGUAUUUUAUUAAGAAAAAAUAAAUUUUAUUAUAGUUUAUUAGUAUUGUGAAAGAAAAUUGAAAUAU